ensembl:lncRNA
AAGUGAAAAGUGAAAGUGAAGUCGCUCAGUCAAGUCCGAGUCUUAGCGACCCCAUGGACUGGAGCCUACCAGGCUCCUCUGUCCAUGGGAUUUCCCAGGCAAGAGUCCUGGAGUGGGGUGCCAUUGCCUUCUCUGAGGAAUGAAAUAGCACUAGCUUAAACUGGUUUUGCCUCUUUAAAUGGGUUGUUGAUUAAUCAAAUUGAAAUAGCACCAGCUUAAACUGGUUUUGCCACCACUCAUAGGUUGUUGAUUAAUCAAACCUUGAGUCAUUUUACACAGACAGCAUUCUGUAUGUGUGAGAUGGAAAUUCAUGUUUCCAGGAUGACAGCGGAACCAAGAAUCUUUAGUCUACAGAACUUAAAGACUAGAAAUGUUGUCACUGGAGUCUUUUGCAAAACGAGAAGUCCUUUAAUCGGGGAAAAUCUGGCUUCCAGGAGCCCAAGUAGCUCAGAUGCUCUAAUUGAAGACUAGCCAAUUAGCUUCCGAUUUUGAAAUUCCCCUAACCAUUAAAUAUCUCCUGGAAGCCUGGAUCAGGGAGACAGAUCUGUGAGCCUUGCUCCUAUUCUUUAUGCUGGUUGGCCUUGCUGCAAACCUCUUUGUUUUCUCAAAAGCCAGUCCCAUAGUCUCGGCUUCUCUGUGUGUGAUCCGGCAGUGAGCCUUUGCUUGGUAACCGGAGCAUGGCAAUGGGCAAAUUAAGAGUAACGUUUUAAAUAGCUGAUGUCACUGAUUGAUCUGAGAUCUCAUUUUACUUUCUAUGAGAAAAAAUGCUGAAGCUAGCCCCAAAUUUCCCAUUGUCAGGAGAGUGUGGCUGAAGCUCUUGUGACCAACCCUCUUUGAAGGUGUUGCAUAAGAAAAUCAUGGCAAUGAUCAUUUCCUCCACGGUGUCCCGCACAGAUUGUGUUCCCAGCCUCAUUAUGGAUUGCCAGGCAUGGCAGGAGUCUCUGUCGUCUGAGGAAGCCAAACACACAAAUUGUUCCUGGGCAGAGCAGAGUGUCAAGACUCCAUCCACCACACUCACAGCUGGAUGGAACUCACCUUUGGCCCCAGCUAUGGAACAGAGAUCAGAAGAGGACUGGCCUUGGAGCUGCUCCUCUCCGUGGAAAUGUUUACAGCCGGUGAAACUGGGGGUGCUGAGGGCAUAGCAGUGGAGAGUGGCGACCCUACCCCUCUCCAUCAGCUGAUUCCGCUCCUGCCUUGGCUCCUAGUGGCAUCAGAGGUCACCAGGGAAAUGGAUAGAUCUGAUGUGCUUUGGUGGAAAGGGAGCUGGACUCUCAGUGAUGAAGUUUAGUGCUUUGAGUUUUAUGUGUGAACCCUGCCACUCCUUUGCUAUGUGAGAGACUGAAGAAUUGGUGAGAAAAAAAAAUAAGAAAGAAAUAAGGGUACAUUCUCAGCAGCACUGAGUCCUGGGAAAAGAAUGAACGCAUAGAUUCUGGCGCUCAGGCCUGCAUCACUCCCUGUGGCUUCUCACGGCCGGUAGCCCACGGAUGGUCAGUUCUCUACCUUUGUUUUCCCUUUGGGAGAAGAUGUACAUGGUAUUCACAGUGAACUUCUCAGACUCUCAAAGACAACCAACAACACCUGCAGAAAAAUGUGCAUCCUUCCUCAAGAAACCAUCUCUCCCUGCAGUGAAACAC